rnacentral:rRNA from 1 species
AGGAGAGUUUGAUCCUGGCUCAGGAUGAACGCUGGCGGCGUGCCUAACACAUGCAAGUCGAACGGAGAUUAGACGCUGACGAGACUUCGGUCAAAUCUUGUUUAAUCUUAGUGGCGGACGGGUGAGUAACGCGUGGGCAACCUGCCUCAUACUGGGGGAUAGCAGUUGGAAACGACUGAUAAUACCGCAUAAGCGCACGAGAUCGCAUGAUCUAGUGUGAAAAACUCCGGUGGUAUGAGAUGGGCCCGCGUCAGAUUAGCUAGUUGGUAAGGUAACGGCUUACCAAGGCGACGAUCUGUAGCCGGACUGAGAGGUCGGACGGCCACAUUGGGACUGAGACACGGCCCAAACUCCUACGGGAGGCAGCAGUGGGGGAUAUUGCACAAUGGAGGAAACUCUGAUGCAGCGACGCCGCGUGAGUGAAGAAGUAUUUCGGUAUGUAAAGCUCUAUCAGCAGGGAAGAAAGGCUCUAAGGAGAGAUGACGGUACCUGACUAAGAAGCCCCGGCUAACUACGUGCCAGCAGCCGCGGUAAUACGUAGGGGGCAAGCGUUAUCCGGAUUUACUGGGUGUAAAGGGAGCGCAGACGGUUAUGCAAGUCUGAAGUGAAACCCCACGGCUCAACCGUGGGCUUGCUUUGGAAACUGUAUAACUAGAGUACUGGAGAGGUAAGCGGAAUUCCUAGUGUAGCGGUGAAAUGCGUAGAUAUUAGGAGGAACAUCGGUGGCGAAGGCGGCUUACUGGACAGCAACUGACGUUGAGGCUCGAAGGCGUGGGGAGCAAACAGGAUUAGAUACCCUGGUAGUCCCCU